rnacentral:rRNA from 1 species
UACGAAGGGGGCUAGCGUUGUUCGGAAUUACUGGGCGUAAAGCGCACGUAGGCGGAUUUGUAAGUCAGGGGUGAAAUCCCGGGGCUCAACCUCGGAACUGCCUUUGAUACUGCAAGUCUCGAGUCCGAUAGAGGUGAGUGGAAUUCCUAGUGUAGAGGUGAAAUGCGUAGAUAUCAGGAGGAACACCUGUGGCGAAAGCGGCUCACUGGACCAUAACUGACGCUGAUGCACGAAAGCGUGGGUAGCAAACAGG